CAUAGGGCUCAACACAGGAAAAAAGAGGGCCAGUAUCCUGAGGAAGGUUUUGAGGAAAUGCUGAUCUUUUCUCCUGUGAUCAAUCAGUGGUUCAGGCUGUGACUCAACAGUUCCCAUCCAGUGCCUUACAGUGUAAAUGGUCUCACAUCCCUUCUCAUACUACUAAAGAGAGACCACUGCAUCCACACAGCCAUGCCUUGGAGAUAGCAACUGGAGAACUGUAUGCAGAAGACUUCAGAAUAAGACCUCCAUAGAGGCAAUCAGGCUAUGAUCAGACAGCAUAAAAAGAUGUCGUAUCCCUGCUAGAUACUUCUGACUUGUGGUUGGCAUCCAAAUCCCCAUUGUAUUAUGGUUGGAUGUGUGCCCUCCUCUCAGAGGGAGGCUGUUGCAAUUGUAGCAGGGAGGGUAAGGAGCAUGACAUGCACAGUGCCUCAGCCACCACAGGUCACACUCCUGCAUUAUUAACAGAAGCCAAGGAAGAAGGCAGAUUUGUCAUAACAUGACAGGGUGUGACAUGGGACAACUGAGAUAUGAGAAUGUUUGCUGUCCCUAGCAGCCUGUUGUUCUAGAGAGCUGCCUGCACUGCCUCUUGGGAAAUCGUACCCAUGACAAGAAGUCCAGAAAAAAAGGCUUUGGAGGGGAAGUUAAAAUAAUUCUGAGCUAUGAGCCUUGCUGCUUUUUUUUCCUGUGAAGGAGGCAAGAUUAGGGAUUGUAUCUUUCUGCACUGAAGCAGUUUAUGAAUAUUAUUUGUUAGACAUGACUAUGGUGUAGAACUAAAGGAACUGCAUUUUAUACAGGUUGCUCUGAAAGUAAUACCUCCUAUUUGUUUCCAUUAAAACUACAACAAAUACAAAGAGCACAAUAAUGUUACUUGAUAGAGGAAAUUCUCAGCUAUGAAAUGCUAUUUUUCAAU
rnacentral:lncRNA from 7 species